AAUAUCAUUUAAUACUCCAACUUUCAAAUUGAGGUUGUUUUAUACAUCAACUUCACAUGUGACCAUUUUAUACAUGAACUAAACGCUGAUCAGGAGUUUGGAAAAUGAGAAUGCAUUGACCAAGCUAACAAGACAUACCUCCAUCUAGGCCUAGACAUAUGGAUUUUGGUUUAGAUAUUU
rnacentral:sRNA from 1 species